rnacentral:rRNA from 1 species
UACGGGGGGAGCAAGCGUUGUUCGGAUUUACUGGGCGUAAAGAGCGCGCAGGCGGUCGUUCAAGUCGAGUGUGAAAGCCCCCAGCUCAACUGGGGAAGUGCCUUUGAUACUGGUCGUCUCGAGGGGGAUAGGGGCGUGCGGAACUUCCGGUGGAGCGGUGAAAUGCGUAGAUAUCGGAAGGAACACCGGUGGCGAAAGCGGCGCGCUGGAUCCCUUCUGACGCUGAGGCGCGAAAGCCAGGGGAGCGAACGGG